rnacentral:rRNA from 1 species
UACGAAGGGGGCUAGCGUUGCUCGGAUUUACUGGGCGUAAAGGGCGCGUAGGCGGACAGUUAAGUUGGGGGUGAAAGCCCGGGGCUCAACCUCGGAAUUGCCUUCAAUACUGGCUGUCUUGAGUGUGAGAGAGGUGGUGUGGAACUCCGAGUGUAGAGGUGAAAUUCGUAGAUAUUCGGAAGAACACCAGUGGCGAAGGCGACACACUGGCUCACUACUGACGCUGAGGCGCGAAAGCGUGGGGAGCAAACAGG